AGCGAACGCUAGCGGCAGGCUUAACACAUGCAAGUCGAGCGCCAGGUUUCGGCCUGGAGCGGCGAACGGGUGAGUAACACGUAGGUCACAUACCCUAUGGUGGGGAAUACCCCGGGGAAACUCGGAUCAAUGCCCCAUAUGUCCGAAAGGAUGAAAGCGCUUCGGCGCGCCAGAGGAUCGGCCUGCGGCCCAUUAUUUAAUCCUAGUUGGUGAGGUAACGGCUCACCAAGGGUACGAUGGGUAGCUGGUCUGAGAGGACGAUCAGCCACACUGGAACUAAAACACGGUCCAGACGCCUACGGGAGGCAGCAGUGGGGAAUAUUGGACAAUGGGCGAAAGCCUGAUCCAGCCAUGCCGCGUGAGUGAUGAAGGCCUUCGGGUUGUAAAGCUCUGUCGUGGGGGAAGAAGUUCUGACGGUACCCCACAAGAAAGCACCGGCUAACUCCGUGCCAGCCGCCGCCGUAAAAC
rnacentral:rRNA from 1 species